rnacentral:lncRNA from 1 species
UGGGGCCGGGGAUCUGGCUGCCAUGAAUUCACCAAAGGGUGGGGUGGGGUGGCUAGGCCAGGGCUAGACUACACCAUUGUCUCCUAUCAAUGGGGCUAGGCUUGGAUUUGGUUCCAUAAACCAACCACACAUUUUCGAUUGUUUAAGAUUAUUUCAAGACAAGAUCACAGAAAUUAUUGGGAUUUUAAGAUUUUUUCUUUUUCAUUUUUUUUUACAUUGAUUGUAUUUGUAGAUGUCAAUUUGAACUUUUGUUUUAG